rnacentral:rRNA from 1 species
GUGGGGAAUCUUCCGCAAUGGACGAAAGUCUGACGGAGCAACGCCGCGUGAGUGAUGAAGGUCUUCGGAUUGUAAAGCUCUGUUAAUCGGGACGAAAGAGCCUAGUGUGAAUAAUGCUAGGAAGUGACGGUACCGGAAUAGAAAGCCACGGCUAACUACGUGCCAGCAGCCGCGGUAAUACGUAGGUGGCAAGCGUUGUCCGGAAUUAUUGGGCGUAAAGCGCGCGUAGGCGGAUCUGCCAGUCUGUCAUAAAAGUUCGGGGCUUAACCCCGUGAUGGGAUGGAAACUACAGAUCUAGAGUAUCGGAGAGGAAAGUGGAAUUCCUAGUGUAGCGGUGAAAUGCGUAGAUAUUAGGAAGAACACCAGUGGCGAAGGCGACUUUCUGGACGAAAACUGACGCUGAGGCGCGAAAGCCAGGGGAGCGAACGGGAUUAGAUACCCGGGUAGUCC